AACUGAGGCAAAAAUUAAGUGAAGUGCUUUCCCAAUGCCCCACAUGUAGUAAAUGGUGGAGCUAGCAUUUCAACCCAGACACUCUGGCACCAAAACCUCACAUGCUAACCUUUAUGUUAUUGCAUAGCUUCCAUUCUUCUAAACACAAAACAAGAUUAUGUUUUGCUGUUGAAGUACCAUUCUGUGCAUUGCUUAAAAUCUUCAUUAACUGAAAUAAUAUUCUUGAUAGUAUAAAUUGUUUAAUUAUACUUUAUACAGGCUUCAUGUAAUUUACUUCAUAUUUCAUCGGUGAAAGAAAUUUGAAUUCACAAUUAUAUAUAAAGAUGCAUUUGAAACUCAGAAUCAAGCAAUCAUAAGGAAAGGAUGACUUCAUAUUGCAUUCAAAAGCUAUUCAAGUUAAAUUACCAUUAUCUUAAGUCAUUUUUAAAGAUGUUUUAGAAAGCUGAAAAAGAUG
rnacentral:lncRNA from 10 species